CGUGAGUAACCUGCCUUGGAGUGGGGAAUAACAGUUGGAAACAGCUGCUAAUACCGCAUAAUAUGUCUGUGUCGCAUGGCACUGGGCAUCAAAGAUUUAUCGCUCUGAGAUGGACUCGCGUCUGAUUAGCUAGUUGGCGGGGUAACGGCCCACCAAGGCGACGAUCAGUAGCCGGACUGAGAGGUUGGCCGGCCACAUUGGGACUGAGACACGGCCCAGACUCCUACGGGAGGCAGCAG
rnacentral:rRNA from 1 species